rnacentral:rRNA from 1 species
UACGGGGGGGGCAAGCGUUGUUCGGAAUUACUGGGCGUAAAGGGCGCGUAGGCGGUUCGCUAAGUUGGAUGUGAAAACUCUGGGCUUAACCCAGAGCCUGCAUCCAAAACUGGCGAACUGGAGUACUGGAGGGGAAAGCGGAAUUCCUGGUGUAGCGGUGGAAUGCGCAGAUAUCAGGAGGAACACCGGUGGCGAAGGCGGGUCUCUGGGCAGUAACUGACGCUGAGGAGCGAAAGCGUGGGGAGCGAACAGG